UACAGAGGGUGCAAGCGUUAAUCGGAUUUACUGGGCGUAAAGCGUGCGUAGGCGGUUCGCUAAGUCGGUUGUGAAAUCCCUGGGCUUAACCUGGGAACUGCAGUCGAUACUGGCGGACUAGAGUACGGUAGAGGGUGGCGGAACUCCGGGUGUAGCGGUGAAAUGCGUAGAUAUCCGGAAGAACACCGAUGGCGAAGGCGACUACCUGGCCUGUUCUUGACGCUGAGGCGCGAAAGCUAGGGGAGCAAACGGG
rnacentral:rRNA from 1 species